rnacentral:rRNA from 1 species
GACGAACGCUGGCGGCGUGCCUAAUACAUGCAAGUCGAACGAGUGGCGGACGGGUGAGUAACACGUGGGAACCUACCCAUCAGAGGGGGAUAACACUUGGAAACAGGUGCUAAUACCGGAUAUCAAUAGAUGGAUCCGCGCUGCAUUAGCUAGUUGGUAAGGUAACGGCUUACCAAGGCAACGAUGCAUAGCCGACCUGAGAGGAUGAUCAGCCACACUGGGACUGAGACACGGCCCAGACUCCUACGGGAGGUAGCAGUGGGGAAUAUUGCACAAUGGGCGCAAGCCUGAUGCAGCCAUGCCGCGUGUAUGAAGAAGGCCUUAGGGUUGUAAAGUACUUUCAGCGGGGAGGCGUUACCCGCAGAAGAAGCACCGGCUAACUCCGUGCCAGCAGCCGCGGUAAUUC